rnacentral:rRNA from 1 species
AUUGAACGCUGGCGGCAGGCCUAACACAUGCAAGUCGAGCGGAUGAAGGGAGCUUGCUCCUGGAUUCAGCGGCGGACGGGUGAGUAAUGCCUAGGAAUCUGCCUGGUAGUGGGGGAUAACGUCCGGAAACGGGCGCUAAUACCGCAUACGUCCUGAGGGAGAAAGUGGGGGAUCUUCGGACCUCACGCUAUCAGAUGAGCCUAGGUCGGAUUAGCUAGUUGGUGGGGUAAAGGCCUACCAAGGCGACGAUCCGUAACUGGUCUGAGAGGAUGAUCAGUCACACUGGAACAGAGAGACGGUCCAGACACCUACGGGAGGCAGCAGUGGGGAAUAUUGGACAAUGGGCGAAAGCCUGAUCCAGCCGUGCCGCGUGUGUGAAGAAGGUGUUCGGAUUGUAAAGCACUGUAAGUUGGGAGGAAGGGCAGUAAGUUAAUACCUUGCUGUUUUGACGUUACCAACAGAAUAAGCACCGGCUAACUUCGUG